rnacentral:rRNA from 1 species
UACGGAGGGUGCAAGCGUUAUCCGGAUUCACUGGGUUUAAAGGGUGCGUAGGUGGCUUUGUAAGUCAGUGGUGAAAUCUUAGAGCUUAACUCUAAAACUGCCAUUGAUACUGCUUAGCUUGAAUCAAGUAGAGGUGGAUGGAAUAUUACAUGUAGCGGUGAAAUGCUUAGAUAUGUAAUAGAACACCGAUUGCGAAGGCAGUUCACUAUGCUUGUAUUGACACUGAGGCACGAAAGCGUGGGGAUCAA